rnacentral:tRNA from 1 species
AAUGAAGUGGCUGAAAUUAAGCGAUAAACUGUAAAUUUAUUUAUGUAUAAUUAAUUUGUACCUUCAUUA